rnacentral:rRNA from 1 species
AUACGUAGGUGGCAAGCGUUGUCCGGAUUUAUUGGGCGUAAAGCGAGCGCAGGCGGUCUCUUAAGUCUGAUGUGAAAGCCCCCGGCUCAACCGGGGAGGGUCAUUGGAAACUGGGAGACUUGAGUGCAGAAGAGGAGUGUGGAAUUCCAUGUGUAGCGGUGACAUGCGUAGAUAUAUGGAGGAACACCAGUGGCGAAGGCGGCUCUCUGGUCUGUAACUGACGCUGAGGCUCGAAAGCGUGGGGAGCAAACAGGAUUAGAUACCCUGGUAGUCCACGCCGUAAACGAUGAGUGCUAAGUGUUGGAGGGUUUCCGCCCUUCAGUGCUGCAGCUAACGCAUUAAGCACUCCGCCUGGGGAGUACGGCCGCAAGGCUGAAACUCAAAUGAAUUGACGGGG